rnacentral:rRNA from 1 species
GUAGUAAGUGGUGUUCAUAAAACCCAAAGGAUUUGGCGGUAUUUUAGUCUAAUUAGAGGAAUCUGUCCUAUAAAUGAUGAUACACGAAGAUUUUUCUUGUUUUUGUAGACAGUUUGUAUAUCGUCGUUAUCAGAAUGUAUUUUGAAAUAAAAUUUUCAAUGUUUUUAAUAAAAACAUAGUUCAGAUCAAGGUGCAGCUUAUAAAUAAGAAGAGAUGGAUUACAAUUUAAUUUAUGAAUAUGGAUGUAAUGUGAGAUAAUAAGUGAAGGUGGAUUUAACAGUAAAUUUUUAUAUUAAAGAAUUUUGAAUUAGGCUCUAAAAUGUGC